rnacentral:lncRNA from 15 species
UGCUCUUAAAGACCCUCAGUGUCCAUCAGUCCAUCAGGUUUGGUGUCAGCAGGUAGCUGGGUGAACCUGACCUGCUCCAGCAGAGCCAAGCCUCCCGUCAGCCGCUUCACCUGGUUCAAGAACAGCAAAGAUGGACCCAUGAAUGUAUCUGAAGGACCGUUUUACAGCUUCAAUGUGACAGAUGGAGGAGAUUAUUACUGUGUGGCUACAAAUGAUCUCGGCAAUGAAACAUCAUCAAUUUGUCUUAAUAUUAAAGGUAAAUACUGAACUGGACUGUGUCCCCUUACUUUGAUCUUUGAAAAGUUUCUGCAUUACCCUUUAGUUACAUGUCUUCUUUUAGUAGUUUCUCAUAUUUAGUUUGUUUGUAUGAACAGAACCACCCAAUGGAUCUCUACAGUGGGGGCCAGUUCUUGGAGGAAUUAUUGGGAUCAUCAUGCUCGUCUGCCUGGUUGUCUGUGUUUGCAUUCUUGUGCAUUGGAGGCGGGUGAAGUCCACAGAUUCAACUCAGCAACUGAAUCAGAGUCCAACAGGUGAAGAGCUGACUGUUGCAGAGUCAGCAAGAAAUACAGAUG